CAGAUGACGCCGGCGGCAUGCUUUACCCAUGCAAGUCGAACGGUAGCGGGGAAGAAGCUUGCUUCUUCUGCCGACGAGUGGCGAACGGGUGAGUAAUAUAUCGGAACGUGCCAAGUAAUGGGGGAUAACUAUCCGAAAGGAUGGCUAAUACCGCAUACGCUCUACGGAGGAAAGCAGGGGAUCUUCGGACCUUGCGUUAUUUGAGCGGCCGAUAUCUGAUUAGCUAGUUGGUGGGGUAAAAGCCUACCAAGGCAACGAUCAGUAGCGGGUCUGAGAGGAUGAUCCGCCACACUGGGACUGAGACACGGCCCAGACUCCUACGGGAGGCAGCAGUGGGGAAUUUUGGACAAUGGGCGAAAGCCUGAUCCAGCCAUGCCGCGUGUAUGAAGAAGGCCUUAGGGUUGUAAAGUACUUUUGUUAGGGAGGAAAAGCUAUAGGUUAAUACCCUGUAGUCAUGACAGUACCUAAAGAAUAAGCACCGGCUAACUACGUGCCAGCAGCCGCGGUAAUACGUAGGGUGCAAGCGUUAAUCGGAAUUACUGGGCGUAAAGCGAGUGCAGGCGGUUUGUUAAGCUAGAUGUGAAAGCCCCGGGCUCAACCUGGGAAUUGCGUUUAGAACUGGCAAGCUAGAGUGUGUCAGAGGGGGGUAGAAUUCCACGUGUAGCAGUGAAAUGCGUAGAGAUGUGGAGGAAUACCGAUGGCGAAGGCAGCCCCCUGGGAUAACACUGACGCUCAUACUCGAAAGCGUGGGUAGCAAACAGGAUUAGAUACCCUGGUAGUCCACGCCCUAAACGAUGACAAUUAGCUGUUGGGGAAUUAAAAGUCCUUGGUAGCGUAGCUAACGCGUGAAAUUGUCCGCCUGGGGAGUACGGUCGCAAGAUUAAAACUCAAAGGAAUUGACGGGGACCCGCACAAGCGGUGGAUGAUGUGGAUUAAUUCGAUGCAACGCGAAGAACCUUACCUAGCCUUGACAUGUACGGAAGUCCGAUGAAAGUUGGAUGUGCCUUCGGGAACCGUAACACAGGUGUUGCAUGUGCUGUC
rnacentral:rRNA from 1 species